rnacentral:misc_RNA from 1 species
AUAUGGUUAUGCAUCAUUGGCCAGUUCUACCUAACUGCUUUCAUUUGAUAAAUUCAAGAAUGGACUAUCACAUCCCAUUCUGCAGGCUUAAAGAAAAAAGAAAAAUGACGAGAGCUAGACCUUGGGCUUUACGGAAUUGAAGAGCACAUAAGAGAAAUUUCUUAUGUAAAAUGGAUUAUUACUAGAAUAUUAUAUUUGUCAGACGAAGCCCUACAUGCAAUUCACAUUCUCCUAUUGCUUGAGCCUUUAGGGAUGCAUAGUUUGUAGUAUAUUCAGGUACAAAAUGCAACAGGCAUAGCUUUUCUUGUUAACUGAUCAUUGAUCACUGAUCACUCAUCUAUAGUCUUAUAAAUGCGCUAAGAGAAACAACUAAUGUUGCUUUCUUGUUGUGCCUCUUUAUUUUCCUGCCGUGUGUAAAUACCAAUUGAAGUGUG